GACGAACGCUGGCGGCGUGCCUAAUACAUGCAAGUAGAACGCUGAAGAGAGGAGCUUGCUCUUCUUGGAUGAGUUGCGAACGGGUGAGUAACGCGUAGGUAACCUGCCUUGUAGCGGGGGAUAACUAUUGGAAACGAUAGCUAAUACCGCAUAACAAUGGAUGACACAUGUCAUUUAUUUGAAAGGGGCAAUUGCUCCACUACAAGAUGGACCUGCGUUGUAUUAGCUAGUAGGUGAGGUAAUGGCUCACCUAGGCGACGAUACAUAGCCGACCUGAGAGGGUGAUCGGCCACACUGGGACUGAGACACGGCCCAGACUCCUACGGGAGGCAGCAGUAGGGAAUCUUCGGCAAUGGGGGCAACCCUGACCGAGCAACGCCGCGUGAGUGAAGAAGGUUUUCGGAUCGUAAAGCUCUGUUGUAAGUCAAGAACGGGUGUGAGAGUGGAAAGUUCACACUGUGACGGUAGCUUACCAGAAAGGGAGGGCUAACUACGUG
rnacentral:rRNA from 1 species